rnacentral:rRNA from 1 species
GACGAACGCUGGCGGCGUGCUUAACACAUGCAAGUCGAGCGGUAAGGCCCCUUCGGGGGUACACGAGCGGCGAACGGGUGAGUAACACGUGAGCAAUCUGCCCAUCACAUCGGGAUAACUCCGGGAAACCGAAGCUAAUACCGAAUACGACCACCUCCGGCAUCGGAUGGUGGUGGAAAGUUCCGGCGGUGAUGGAUGAGCUGGCGGCCUAUCAGCUUGUUGGUGGGGUAACGGCCCACCAAGGCUUCGACGGGUAGCCGGCCUGGGAGGGUGGCCGGCCCCACUGGGACUGAGACACGGCCCAGACGCCAACGUGAGGCAGCGGUGGGGAAUAUUGGCCAGUGGGCGAGAGCCUGAUCCAGCAACGCCGCGUGAGGGAUGACGGCCUUCGGGUUGUAAACCUCUUUCAGCAGGGACGAAGCGCAAGUGACGGUACCUGCAGAAGAAGCACCGGCCAACUACGUG